AACCCUGAGUAAUCGGAAGUGGUUAGGAGUGAGAGAGCUGCUGGAUAUGUGGAGGGACUGGGCGGGUCGGCUUCUGAAUGGAAGAGGUCUGUGAGAAGUUAACCUGGUGAUACCGAUCCGAAGAGCCUAUCAAGUGAAGCCCCCUGAAAUACGGAGAAUAAGAAUCUUAGAGGUAAAUCCGAGGACAAGCAGGUUGUUCAGUAGAAGUCUUGGAGUGCAUUUUCAGUGGUUAAGGUGAAAAAAUGACUACUAAAAAUUUAGAAACCAAAGUCACCGUUACUUCAUCCCCAAUCCGAGGAGCAGGAGAUGGAAUGGAAACUGAGGAACCACCUAAAUCUGUUGAAGUUACCUCCGGAGUCCAAUCUAGAAAGCAUCAUAGUCUUCAGAGUCCAUGGAAGAAAGCAGUUCCAUCAGAGAGCCCAGGAGUUCUUCAGCUAGGGAAAAUGCUCACUGAAAAAGCAAUGGAAGUUAAAGCUGUAAGAAUAUUAGUUCCCAAAGCUGCUAUAACUCAUGAUAUCCCCAACAAAAAUACAAAGGUUAAGUCUCUGGGACAUCAUAAAGGAGAAUUCCUUGGUCAGUCAGAGGGAGUUAUAGAACCUAAUAAGGAACUCUCAGAGGUAAAGAAUGUAUUGGAAAAGCUCAAGAAUUCUGAAAGAAGGUUACUACAGGACAAAGAAGGUCUUUCAAACCAGCUCCGUGUACAGACAGAGGUAAAUCGUGAGUUAAAAAAGUUACUGGUGGCUUCUGUUGGGGAUGAUCUUCAGUAUCACUUUGAACGUCUAGCCCGUGAGAAAAAUCAGCUUAUUUUAGAAAAUGAAGCCCUAGGUCGAAACACAGCUCAGCUUUCUGAACAGUUAGAACGUAUGUCAAUACAGUGUGAUGUAUGGCGAAGUAAAUUCCUUGCAAGCAGGGUAAUGGCAGAUGAGUUAACCAACUCAAGAGCAGUUUUACAGCGUCAAAACCGUGAUGCACACGGGGCUAUACAAGAUCUCCUAAGUGAACGGGAACAGUUUCGUCAAGAAAUGAUAGCUACCCAGAAAUUAUUGGAGGAGCUCUUAGUUUCCUUGCAAUGGGGAAGAGAGCAAACUUACUCCCCUAGUGUACAACCCCACAGCACAGCAGAGCUAGCAUUAACAAAUCACAAGUUGGCAAAAGCAGUAAAUUCUCAUCUUCUGGGAAAUGUUGGCAUUAACAAUCAAAAAAAGAUUCCAUCAACAGUUGAAUUCUGCAGCACCCCAGCUGAGAAAAUGGCUGAAACGGUUCUAAGAAUUUUAGAUCCAGUUACCUGCAAAGAGAGUUCACCUGAUAAUCCAUUUUUUGAGUCUUCACCAACCACCUUACUUGCUACAAAGAAAAAUAUUGGACGAUUUCAUCCCUAUACUAGAUAUGAAAAUAUAACUUUCAAUUGCUGCAAUCACUGCCAGGGAGAACUGAUUGCCCUUUAACAGUCAAUAUGUUGGAGGCAUGCUAAGCUCCUGGAAACCACCAUCCUGCCUCCUAACAAUGGAGUCUUUUGCAUUUGCCAUAAUGUUUUUGAGGUUUCUCCAUGUUAUGCUUGUGCAAAUGAAAGAACGGCAGUUUACUGAGAUCCAAGAGGACCAGCGUGGGUGACCAGAAAUCGUAAGUUGUUUUUUGACUAUGUUAUGAUUAAUUAAGCAAUCAAGUAAAUAUGGAACUAGGUAGUUGAAUAUGUAAGUUUAGAAUUCAGAUAAUAAAGGACUAGAUAUAUAUAAAUUUGAAAGUGAUCAGCGUAGACAUGGUUCAUAAAGCCAUGGGGCAGGGUGAAGACAGAGAGGAAAUGUAGAUGAGAAGAAAAAAAAAAGAGAUUGGAGAACUUAGCUUCAGGAUUACACCUUAGGUUACACUUAAGUUUAGCUGUCAGGAAGAAGAGGAAGAACCAGCAAAGGAGAUCCAGGAGUAACCAGUGAGGUAAAGAAAAAGAACCAGAAAGAGGUAUGUUCCAGAAGCCAUAGGAAGAACAUGUUUCAAUAAAAAAUGCUCAGCUAUAUCAAACCUGCUGUUGACAGGUGAAAUACAAAGAGGAUUAGGAAUCACUGUUUUGACAGUAGUUUAAGUGGAAUGAUGGGGAUUCUAAACUAAAUAGGAGAAGAGAAAGUAGACAGCAGUACUGACAGUUCUUUUCAAGGAGUUUUACUCUAAAGGGGAAAAAAGAAAUGGGGCAGAAGGUAGAAUGGCACAGGAAUUCAAGUAGAGGAGGAUUUAUCAUGAAGCUAAUGAAGUCUAAGUUUCAGGGCUUCUCACCUGUGCAGGCCACUUCUAUGGCCCUGGGAGGGGUCCUAACAAUGUAUUUAUGUGAUAUGUGAAAAUAAGUUUUUAAAAAAAUUUCCAAAAGUAAAACGUUUUAACUAAAAUAAGCCAUUUUCUCCUUCCAUUCCAACUUCUGUCCAUCAAACAUUCCCUCUUUGGUUGGCUGCAGACACUUCUGGAUUCUGACUAAAUGAGAGUUAAAUUAGUAAUAUAUUUAAUUUGCAUUUAUGUUUUGUUUUAAUUUUGAACAAAACAUUAUUUUCAAGUAUAACAAAAAUAAUUAAAUUGAAUUAAAAAUUAUUUUCCUUUUUCUCUUAAAUCCUGAAGAACUGGAAUGACAAAAUAUGACCCAUUCAAGUCUAAAGCACUAUGAAAAGUACCAAGAAUUAUACAUUUCUAGUCAUUAAUUUAUGAACUAAUAUAGUUAUUUUUGGCUGUAGUCUACUUGUUUUUUUCAUUUUUUGAAGAAAUACAUAAUCAAUGUAUUAUGUGAAGCAAAAUAGACUUGAGAAAGAAUUGAAACGACAAAAAAAAGAAACGCUAUGAGAUAGGAAGAUGAAUCAGCAAAAUAUGCACUCUUUUACAGUAGAUACCUACUAUAUCCAAGAACAAAACCUCCUUAUUACACAGGGUAAAACAGAAUUCAAAAGGACAUUGUAUUUCUAUUGGAAUUCUUUAGACUUUUCUGAAAUGUCAAGACAGCCAUAAUUUGACUAAU